GAACGCUAGCUACAGGCUUAACACAUGCAAGUCGAGGGGCAGCAUUUUAGUUUGCUUGCAAACUGAAGAUGGCGACCGGCGCACGGGUGAGUAACACGUAUCCAACCUGCCGAUAACUCCGGAAUAGCCUUUCGAAAGAAAGAUUAAUACCGGAUAGCAUACGAAUAUCGCAUGAUAUUUUUAUUAAAGAAUUUCGGUUAUCGAUGGGGAUGCGUUCCAUUAGUUUGUUGGCGGGGUAACGGCCCACCAAGACAACGAUGGAUAGGGGUUCUGAGAGGAAGGUCCCCCACAUUGGAACUGAGACACGGUCCAAACUCCUACGGGAGGCAGCAGUGAGGAAUAUUGGUCAAUGGGCGAGAGCCUGAACCAGCCAAGUAGCGUGAAGGAUGAAGGCUCUAUGGGUCGUAAACUUCUUUUAUAUGGGAAUAAAGUUUUCCACGUGUGGAAUUUUGUAUGUACCAUAUGAAUAAGGAUCGGCUAACUCCGUGCCAGCAGCCGCGGUAAUACGGAGGAUCCGAGCGUUAUCCGGAUUUAUUGGGUUUAAAGGGAGCGUAGGUGGAUUGUUAAGUCAGUUGUGAAAGUUUGCGGCUCAACCGUAAAAUUGCAGUUGAAACUGGCAGUCUUGAGUACAGUAGAGGUGGGCGGAAUUCGUGGUGUAGCGGUGAAAUGCUUAGAUAUCACGAAGAACUCCGAUUGCGAAGGCAGCUCACUAGACUGUCACUGACACUGAUGCUCGAAAGUGUGGGUAUCAAACAGGAUUAGAUACCCUGGUAGUCCACACAGUAAACGAUGAAUACUCGCUGUUUGCGAUAUACAGUAAGCGGCCAAGCGAAAGCAUUAAGUAUUCCACCUGGGGAGUACGCCGGCAACGGUGAAACUCAAAGGAAUUGACGGGGGCCCGCACAAGCGGAGGAACAUGUGGUUUAAUUCGAUGAUACGCGAGGAACCUUACCCGGGCUUAAAUUGCAACAGAAUAUAUUGGAAACAGUAUAGCCGUAAGGCUGUUGUGAAGGUGCCGCAUGGUUGUCGUCAGCUCGUGCCGUGAGGUGUCGGCUUAAGUGCCAUAACGAGCGCAACCCUUAUCUUUAGUUACUAACAGGUGAUGCUGAGGACUCUAGAGAGACUGCCGUCGUAAGAUGUGAGGAAGGUGGGGAUGACGUCAAAUCAGCACGGCCCUUACGUCCGGGGCUACACACGUGUUACAAUGGGGGGUACAGAAGGCGGCUACCUGGUGACAGGAUGCUAAUCCCAAAAACCUCUCUCAGUUCGGAUCGAAGUCUGCAACCCGACUUCGUGAAGCUGGAUUCGCUAGUAAUCGCGCAUCAGCCAUGGCGCGGUGAAUACGUUCCCGGGCCUUGUACACACCGCCCGUCAAGCCAUGAAAGCCGGGGGUACCUGAAGUACGUAACCGCAAGGAGCGUCCUAGGGUAAAACUGGUAAUUGGGG
rnacentral:rRNA from 1 species